GGUACAUCUAAAGCCAUGUUUUCUUUAUAUGGGAGUUUUUCCUGAGGACAAAAAGAUCCGUGUCUCGUGGCUCGUAAAACUAUGGGUUUCUGAAGGAUUUGUGAAACCAAUUAACGGCAAAAGCUUGGAAGUGGUUUCGAGAGAGUACUUGCAGGAGCUCUGUGAUAGAAACUUGAUUUUAGUUCAUAAAAGGGGGUCUAAUGGAAAUAUAAAGUUUUGCAAAAUCCAUGAUCUCUUGAGGGAACUAUGCUUGAGAGAAGCUGAGAGAGAGAAGUUCCUUUAUGUCAGAAGACCGCACGAACUUACCAUUCCACAGGGCAUAAAUACCCAACGCCGCAUUUGUAUUCAUCAAAGCAUGUCGGAGAAGGAUUAUCACCUUGAUCCAGUUCUUCGUACGUUGCAGUAUGUGCCUCUUGUUCGUUCUCCGAUUUGCAAUUUUGAAGAACGUUUACCAUUACUUGAUUUUAGAUUGUUGAGGGUGCUGAAAGCCGAUGAUAAAAAGUCAUAUUUCGUUAACAUCAGACAAUACGGAUAUUCCGUAGAUGUUGUCUUUCGGCUAGUUAACCUGAGGUUCAUUGCUAUCCGAUCUGACAGGCCUAGGAGGUCCAGAUUUCCUUCUUCAGUCAAUCUCCUUUGGAAUCUACAGACUUUAAUUGUAAAUGGUAUCUUUGGCGUUGUUGCACCAUGUGAAAUUUGGAACAUGACUCAACUUAAGCAUGUUCAUUUCGAUGGACUUGAGUUGCCUGAACCUCCCAUCGUUGGGAAAGAUGACAAGUUUAUUUUGGGGAACCUACAGACGCUCACUGAUAUACUCAAAUUCAAAUGUGGAGAAGAGGUGGUCAAGAGAAUCCCCAAUAUCAAUAAAUUACAAAUAUCUUACUUUGAGGAACCUCAAGAAUUUUUGAGUUACACUCUCGACAAUCUUGGCCAUCUACAUAAACUCGAGUCCUUACGUUUCUCCCUUCAUUCCGAAAAUAAGCCAUCCCUGAAUGAUAUGGUGCAGAAUUUCAUCCUCCCCAAUUCCCUCAAGAAGUUGACUUUGAUAGGGACCAAGCUCAAAUGGGAAGACAUGAACACAAAGAUAGGUUUGUUACCCAAUCUUCAAGUCCUCAAACUGAAGGAAUAUUCUUUUGUGGGGACCGAGUGGGAAACUGUUGAAGGGCAAUUCUGCAACCUUAAAUUCUUGCUAAUCCACAUGUGUAGUGAGCUGGAAUGGUGGGCGACAGAUAGCUCCCACUUUCCGCGCCUCGAGCAUCUUCAACUUCAGUUCUUGGAUAAGUUGAAGGAGAUCCCUUCAUGUAUUGGAGAAAUAUCAACGCUUCAAUCGAUUCAGUUGCUUCGUUGUAGCGACGAAGCUGUCAUUUCUGCUAAAGAAAUAUUGAAGGAACAAGAGGAUUUUGGCAAUGUAGACUUUCGACUCGUAGAGUAAGAAUAGUCCCAACUUUCAAGUUGAAUCUUGCAAUAUACAAUGAACCUACAUGGAGCAUAAAUCGAAGAAUGGAGGCCUGUGAGCGGAUCGCUUGUCGCUUUAUUGAACUUAGAUUAACAAUUUGGUAUGUUGGAAUUUACAAUUCAUUGUUUUUAUGUUGAAGAUACCUUCUUCCUGUCAUUCGAUUUGGCGUGAAAUUUAGCCUCCGGUUAAUUUAUUGGAAGCAUUUGUGUGAGCUUGUAAACAAUUUCUACUUUGGUUUUCUUUCAUGUAAUUUCUUUUUGAGGCUUUGCGUAAUAGUUGGUUUUUUAACAUUUGAACUGGAUUUUAUUCUUCGUUAUAGGGGUACUCUUUUCCUUGAAAAGCUCGUAAAUGAUGAAACAUCACGAAUUUAUGAUUUGUUUGACG